GCCUCUCACCUUGCUUAUGACAAGAGUGUCAUAAAGUAACUGGACGGCCUCAUUAUUCACUUGGCCCAAUAUUUGCUAGGUUCCUACUGGAUUCUCAACCCUGUUCUCAACGCAGGAAAUAAAAAUGGGUCAGACACGGCCCUUUUCAUCAAGGAGUUCGCAGCCUCCCUGGGGAGAAUGACAGGGACAUUUGACAUGUGGGGACAUAAUGAUUACAUAAUAACAGUAAUAACAACCAGCAUAUUAGGGUCACAGAAGAGCAUUGCAAUAACCGUAAACAUCUGUGAUAUAGUAAUGUAUGCAUUUCUUGACAAAUACAUUCAAUAACAAGAUGUCAACUGUAAUUUCGAAUGAGGAUAGACAAAGUUUCAAGGUCUCCACAACAACGGAAAUGUGAUAUGAAAAUAUCUGAUUUCUGCAGGGGAGAAGUUUCCUUGGUGCUGCUAUGCUGCCGUCAUUUGCUGCCCACAUUCAUAUCAGAAGCAGAAUCUGUGAUUCAGCGAGAGCGAGGCGUAAGCCUGACAGACUCCACCUCCUGCUACACUGCCCUCUACCCCCUGGACAGUGACGCCCCGAGGGAGGGGUCCAUUUCUCUCCAUCUCUGUGCCUACACAGCCCUGCACACGCACACACGUGGGCCCGGAUGAUUGCUGGAGGGGAAGCUACCUCUUUGGCCUCUCACCGUUGUGGCCUCUCCCGUUGCGGAGCACAGGCUCCGGACGCA